ensembl:lncRNA
GCUCAUGACCUGAUGAGAACUGCUGGUGGGUGAUGGCAGUUUAAGUGAUCCCUACAGUUCUGCUCAGUUGCACUGCUCUGGUUGCAUUCAAUUUCAAUACUAAGGAUGUGGUAACAACUAAAAACCUUCUACAGCGUGGAUCCAAACCCUUUUGAUACACUUCUCCCUCAAAGUCAGACAUUGGUCCUCUUCACCGCUCUUCAACUCCUCUUGCCCCCAGAAUACACAAAAUCUAACUUGGUUCAGAAAGCAACUACAGCAAGCAUCUAGAGAAAGACCAAGGACAACAUCAGUAACAAGUCAGAGAUCCAAGAAGUGUUGCACAACUCCUCUGUUCUCACUUUCUCUCUUAGUUAGGACAUUACUUCUUGUUUACAGUUCAGCACUGAAACCUUUGCCUACCCCGUGACGUUUUAUUCAAGAUACAUACCCUGGUUUGUGAUCUACCAGUGAUCCCCCCUAGAAAUCACAUUUCUUCUUUGCAGCUCUUUCCUCAUUUACUGCAGUAUGCUUCACUCACUCAAGUUGAAAUCAAGUAGAGACAUUUGGGAUGUCUGAAUAGGAAACAGCUAAUUAGAGUCUAGCUAUACACACAAGUAACAAGGGAAAGAAGCUAACUUUGUAAGCAAAAAGAAAUAUCACUGAAAUCAGUCAGUAAUAACUCACCCAGCCAUUGCCAUCUAGCAGUUUCAUUGUAGGUAACAAGAGGACCAUGCAGAAUGAUUGAAAGGAAGAUUUAAUAGACAAAAAACAGGCAAGACAUGGAAAGAAAGACUGUAAAUAUUUUUGAAUCACUACCACCAUAACUUUCUAAUAAAACAGGAUGAUUUCUUGUGUAAUAACCCUAGGCAAGGCAUGUGUGAUGCAGAAAAAAAUCUUUAAAUGGUUCUAAAAUGAUCUAAUUUUAUUUGCCUGGUAAUACUGCAAAUAAUUCUGAAUGUAACCUUCAGAAGAGAAAAUAAUGUGACAUUUUCCAUCCUCUUAUUAUGAAUUUGAUUCAGUCCACUGAAUACUGUAAUAUCAAUAGAUGCUAGGUAAGAUGGAAAAAAAAAAAAAAGAUUUAAAGAAAGACUAUGAAUAAAAAAAAAUACUUGAGACCAAUUAACACUAAAUGUUGGCUAUUUAAUGCUUACAGACUUUUCAUGAAGUUAGAAAGAAAUAGCUUGUACAGAUAU